UCCGCACUGCUGCGCGCGGGAAUCGACCCCCCGCGCGCCCUGGACGUGUUCCUUCGCCCCUUGGCUGACCCCCUGCGUCGGUGCGUGAAUCUUUCUCGCGCCCUGCGAGCGGGAGACCGCUGGGGAGAGAGGCAGGGCCGGACUCCUCCUCCUCCCAAGGUGGUAAGCUCCCCUCGCCGUGCGCUGAAGUGGGCUAGCGCCCGACGCCGCGUGGUGCCGCCGGGGCAAGGUAGGUAAAGUCGGCUGGGAGCGAAGUGAAGCGCGCGACCGUGCGCGCGCGGCGCCCCUGCCGGUGAACGUGAGCUAGCUCCUCGGGUUGAGUGAGGGCUGCCUCGCCCUCGCCCUCGCGCCUAGCCACCCCCCGCG
rnacentral:rRNA from 1 species